rnacentral:rRNA from 1 species
UGUUCGGGGGAAAACGGACAGAGCCCGUGAAUCCGGGUGACAGAAUUCAAAAUUGGUGGCGGCUCGCGUCGUCGCUAGUUUGAUAUUUCUGUCGCCGUUUGCGGACGUCGCGACCCGUUUGGUGUCGGUCUUGCGAGACGUGUGAAAGUUCGUCGAUGUGUGUCGCUUGCGGUGCACAUUACGAGUACGCGUUCUCUGGCCGACUUGCCAGACGGUAAGCACAGGUGUCUGUGUCGACGAAUACAGUCGUCACAGUGCCGGUCUGCGACGAAUCUUC